UACAGAGGUCCCAAGCGUUGUUCGGAUUCAUUGGGCGUAAAGGGUGUGUAGGUGGCGCCGUAAGUCGGGUGUGAAAUUUCGGAGCUUAACUCCGAAACUGCAUUCGAUACUGCGGUGCUUGAGGACUGGAGAGGAGACUGGAAUUCAUGGUGUAGCAGUGAAAUGCGUAGAGAUCAUGAGGAAGACCAGUGGCGAAGGCAGCUCUCUGGGGACGGUACUGACGCUGAGACGCGAAAGCGUGGGGAGCGAACAGG
rnacentral:rRNA from 1 species